rnacentral:rRNA from 1 species
CACGUAGGGCGCAAGCGUUGUCCGGAAUUAUUGGGCGUAAAGGGCUCGUAGGCGGUCUGUCACGUCGGGAGUGAAAACUCGGGGCUUAACCCCGAGCCUGCUUCCGAUACGGGCAGACUAGAGGUAUGCAGGGGAGAAUGGAAUUCCUGGUGUAGCGGUGAAAUGCGCAGAUAUCAGGAGGAACACCGGUGGCGAAGGCGGUUCUCUGGGCAUUACCUGACGCUGAGGAGCGAAAGUGUGGGGAGCGAACAGG